rnacentral:lncRNA from 1 species
CAAAAUAACAGCACCUUCUGUUUCCCCUGAAUCCACAUGAGUGUGGUGCUGUGAAAGAGGUCGCUGGCUGGUGUUGAGGGUGCCUCCGUGCCAGGGAGCACUCAAAGCUACAGACAUUCACCUGCGAAUGGUCAUGGACCUGACCGGCUGUUUUCUCUGCAUUUCUCCCCUGGCUAAAGAUGUGUUGCUGGGUAAAGUGAUUCUCAGACUUGACCUCCUGCUGCCCUGCUCCCACCCUGGAAUGGAGCAGGUGCCAGGUGGACAUGGCUGCAGGUGCUGUGGGAGGUGAGUCGUGCAGCCACAGGGGAAAACGUUUCAGGAUCCAGUGUCCGUCCUUCAAAGUUGCUUCUAACAAGGAAACCGCUGCCUAAUCACCGGCACCUGUCAAAUUGGAAUCUCAGGUAUGAAAAUUUCCCAAGGACCCACCUAAUCCAGGUUCCUUUCCCUAAAGCAAAUAGGGGGGCAAAUAUAGUCAAAGCCUCACACCAUUCCCUUAAGUUUUUUAAACCAAGACUCCUCUAAUCAGCUCAAUAUAAAAAGAAUGAUUUUCAGAAAACUUCCUAUUAAUUCAAAAGUCAGAGCAGGUAGAUCCCCAGUGACUGGCACGAAUUAGCUGUCCGUUAACCAUUAUAGAAAUGCAACUGAAAAUCA